GGGGUGGAAGAACAAAAGGGAUGAAUGC
rnacentral:piRNA from 1 species